CAGCACGCCGCGUGAGGAGAUGCCUUCGGGUUGUAAACUUCUGUUGGAUGGGAAAAAAANCCNCGUAAGUGGAAUUGAUGGUACCAUUCNAGUAAGCACCGGCUAACUACGUGCCAGCAGCCGCGGUAAUACGUARGGUGCAAGCGUUGUUCGGAAUCACUGGGCGUAAAGAGAGCGUAGGCGGGAUCGUAAGUUAGGAGUUUAAUGCAUGGGCUCNACCCAUGAUCUGCUUUUAAUACUGCGGUUCUUGANUAUGGUAGAGGGUGAUGGAAUUCCAGGUGUANCGGUGGAAUGCGUACAUAUCUGGAAGAACACCAGUAGCGAAGGCGGUCGCCUGGCCCAAUACUGACGCUGAGGCUCGAAAGCUAGGGNAGCAAAC
rnacentral:rRNA from 1 species